rnacentral:lncRNA from 10 species
CACAGCUCCUCCCAUUAUGACUGAGUUGGCACAGCCACUCCAGGCCGUUCUGUGCCAGUCAACCGUGCUGGCUGGGGCAGCUUGAAUUGACCAAAGGCAGCCUCUCUGCAGAGUCCCAGGCAGCCUCUCUGCAGAGUCCCAGGCAGCUGAGAUGAGCAGGACAGAGGAGGCUUGGACCAGCUUUCCGACUGCUCUUAAAAGCAGAGAUGAAGAGAAAAGAGUGAGUUCAAAAGACAGAGCAUGAGAAAGACCCCACCCGCUAUUACUGGCUUUGAAGAUGGAGAGAAGAGGCCACAAGCCAAGGAAUGCAGCAGCUUCCAGAAGCAUGAAAGAGCCCUUAGGUUACAGCCAGCAAGGGAAGGAAACUGCGACCCUACAGCCACAAGACUUGACUUCUGCCAACAGCCAGAAGGAGCAGGAAAUACGUUCUCCCUGAGAGCCUCCAGAAAGGAACACAGUCUGCCCACACCUUAAUUUUAGCCUGGGGAGGCCCAUACCAGGUCUCUGCUUUACAGAAUUGUAAGAUAAUAAAUUUGGAGUUUUUUUAAACUACUAAAUUUGUGGUCAUUUGUAAAGGCAGUAACAGAAAAACUAAAACACUUUACUAUCUAUACGUAGAUUUAACUGCUUUUUUUUUUUUUCUUUUUAAGAGAUGGUCUCACUCUGUUGCCCAAGUUGGAGUACAGAGGUGCAAUCAUAUCUCACUGCAGCCUUGAACUCCUGGGCUCAAGCCAUCCUCCCACCUCAGGCUCCUGGAUAACUGGGACUACAGGCACACCACCAUGCCUGGCUAAUUUUUUUUUUCUUUUUUUUUUUUAGAGAUGAGGUCUUGCUAUGUUGCCCAGCUGGUCUCAAAUUCCUAGCUUCAAAUGAUCCUCCCACCUUGGCCUCCCAAAGCUCUGGGAAUGAAGGCAUGAGCCACCAUGCCCAGUCUAGAUUUAACUUUUAAAUACAGUUCUAUUUUUAUAGGGGGGGAAAAUCCCAAAAUAGAAUAACAAGCAGGUUUUCUUUUACUCAGUUAACUAUUCCUAAGAGAAACCUUGAUAUUCUGGAUAUUUGAACCCUGAGACUAAUCCAGGCACCCUUUUCUCCUGGUAGCAGCUUGUGCAAUGAGGU